GUUUUAAGUACGUAUUAAUAAUGAUAAUAUGUAUAAAAGUCUUGACCAAUUACGUGCCAGCAGUCGCGGUAAUACGUAGGAGACGAGCAUUAUUCAUAUUAAAUAGGUUUAAAGGGUACCCAAACGGUCAAAAUACCUGAAAUAUAGGAGUCCUUGACUAGAGUUAUAUGUAAGAAGACCGUACUUGAGGUGGAGAGAUUAUAUUUUAUGAUACCAAAAGGACUGAUAACGGCGAAGGCUGUCUUUUAUGUAAUAACUGACGUUGAAGGACGAAGGCAUAGAUAACUAACAGGAUUCGUUACCCUAGUAGUCUUUGCAGACAAUGAUGAAUGCCAUUAACUAGAUNCUAAUUUUAGUUAUAUAAAUGAAAAUGAAAGCAUUUCACCUCAAGAGUAAUGUGGCAACG
rnacentral:rRNA from 1 species